GCCGACGUAGCUCAAUCGGCAGAGCAUCCGCCUUGUAAGCGGACGGUUGUCGGUUCGAGUCCGACCGUCGGCU
rnacentral:tRNA from 1 species